GGCAGGAGUCUAAAGAGUAAAUAGAGGUGCUGGCCCUAGAUUUUUUUUUUUUUUUAAAGGCCCCAGAGGGGUUUGUUCACCGGUGUUUGAAUUGCUAUAGAAAAGCUCUGUGAGCCUGGAAAUUCCACCAAGCUGACCCCUUUCACAGCCCGAGUUAUUUACAGUUCACGGGGCUUCGGAGGGGUCUGGUUUGCAGGCCCGUGGAAAACAGGUCCGGGCUUGGCAGAGGGAGCCCACUGCGGGCGAUUCGCAUCACACGACCUUGCUUUCCUCGGGGUGGGAGGCCGCGCGCACCGGGAGCCAAAGAUGUGGUCCAGCGGGAGACAGGCCUUUGUGUGUCGGCAGAGGGAAGGCGCCGGGGGGAAUAACUCGGAAAGAGCCGGCUACUAGAAAGCAAAUAACCCGAGUUCUCUCCGUAAUGAAAUGCAGCCCUCAGAAGAACAACGACGCGGUAGGAAGGAAACGGGGAGCACCGCCCCCGCCCCGCCCCCGCCCCCGCCCGUGCAGCCUGAACAGUCAGAUCGUCCAGAAGACUGGCACUGAGGAGAGCGCCCGGUUUCCCAUUUUGCUCCAUACUGGAGGAGUAAAUACUGCCUAUGGAAUAUCUCUUGAGGUGAAGAGACAGGAGUGGGGGAAGAACAAUGAAUAACACCCACAUAGGCCUCAGGUGAGUGGAUGAGAUUGACUUCGUCAGGGGAAGAAAUGCAGUGGAGCAGAUGCACCAGUCUGCAGGGCUGGAUGGAGGCUCAGUGUCAUAGAAGGUAACUUGGCAUUACAAUGGAGAUACGGUGGUUUAAAUUUGGCAACUUAGAGGUGACUUACGGAGCCCGAUCUGAGUUUGGGUACAGAGAGAAGUCCCAGGAAAUGUUAGAUAUGACUAAGGAGCUACUUGAAAAAAGCUCUUGAGAGAUGCAGAGGCCCAGGAUUUGUUAGUUCUCCUUCACCUGAGAGAGAAGGUAUUAGUAUUGAGGGAGGGAUACCUUCUGAAAGAAUCUUCAGGUCAGGGCCUCAGGAAUUCCAAGACAGCUUAAAAUCUGGAUGCUUGAAUGGCUCUGAGCAUGGCUUUGAGGAUUAUAAAAAUAAUGCCUAAACCUAGUGUUUCUGGUGGAUCAGAUGGGGUUUUAUGUUUUCUAUGAAUUGAAUUGUUGAAUCAUCUCAAUACCCCACGUUGCAUUUUUUUCAUCAUCCCAAUUUUAUAGAUGGAAAGCAGAGGACCAGAAAGUUAUUUUGCCCACAUAAUUGUGCUUAUAGACCUAUACUUGGAGUGCUGUGCUCUGUUGCUGUGGAAGUUGAUAGAGCUCUAUCAACUUGGAAGAACUGUGGAAAUUCAUUAGUUAUACAUGGGACUUUUUUUUCUGUCUGCAUGUUCUUUUUCUGAGAAAGCUCUACAGCCCAUCCAAGAUGAUGGGAGGAAAAAGGCGGCCUCCUCACCUGCCUAAUGUAAGGUCC
rnacentral:lncRNA from 12 species